CUGCGCUUCUAAGUGAAGUGUAUUUAUUCUUGGUCAGUGGGUCUGGGGAAGGGGGUGGAUUUUUAACCAGGUACCCCAAAGGCAGGAUAUAGAGGAAUAACUGUCGAUAUGCCGAGGGCUUCAGUUCGCCACAGAAGAUCUAAGUUAUUUGGCAAGACCUCGCUGGGGCUGCACCUCUCCCCGCUGAGCACUGCGGGUCCUGCCGGCGCUCCCAACGGCUGUGGCGACAUUCGCAAUUAAGCGAGAGCCACUGCAGGGCUCGCAGCUGUGCCUCCCGCAGAUGCCAUUUGCCGACUUGGCACAGGCAGCUCUGCAGCUCCUCUGGAGGCACUUCAGGGUUCGCCUGAAGUGACGCUUUGGCUCGGCUCGGCUCGGCGCUGGUGAUUCUCCCGCUCUCCACGCAGGAACUGCUGAUGGCGAUUAAUGUUACAACUAACAGCAGAGCCCCAGGUGGCACAGCACAGAACGCUCCGCUUUCCCAGAGCCUCCCGAGGGACACUGUUUUCUCCCCCUUUCCCGCGGGCAGCGGGGCCGCAGCAGGAGCGCUCUGUGCCGGGCUCGGGGGAAGGCGGCUGCACCCCGCACCCUGACAGGUCCUGAAACGCCAGCGAGGGAGAGGCAGCGCUGAGGCGUCCGGUCCGGUCCGAUCCGAUCCGAUCCGAUCCGAUCCCAGCUCCCUCCCUCCCUCCCUCCCUCCACGGGCAGCUCCCGCCAGCGACCCGCUGGCUGGCGGCGGGACCUAUAUCCUCUCGCGGAAGGCUACCGCUCGCUGGCACGGCGGCAUCCGACGGAAGCGGUGCUGUGGCUUCUGAGGCAGCACUUUGUGAAGGCGCGCCUGAUUGGCUGACGGGGCUCCGCAAUGGUUAUCUGGGUGCCAGAGGUGCAAAACGUGGCAGUACAAACUUGCUUAUUGUGCCCUGCCCCUGGCGGUGUGAGGAGCGUCUCUUGGACCGCUGCUCCAAGUGACAGCUUGAGUGGCAGCUGGGGGAGGAUGUGCUCGGCGGAGUGAUGACUGAGCGCUGAAAUAUCUUGCUGAAACGCUGCAAAAUCUUUCAACACAAAGAGAUGUUUCUGCAAAAUUAGCCCCGAAACGCGAAGCUGCGCCGAUGUAUACGAGGUUCGUGUGCAUCCAUCUGGGACUUGUGGUCCCCUUGGGCCUGGCCAGAACCUGCUCCAGCCCGGUUCCAUAGGGAGCUGCAGAGGUACCAUAACCGCUUGUAUGGUUUUUUUUAGAUAAAGCAUAGAUAGACCAGAAGCAAACAAAUAAAGCCACCUCUGCACCAUUAAGAAGCUUACAGGACUGCUUUAAAAACGAUGGGGUUUUUAAACCAGCAAGAACUUCCUGGUGCAUCUGUAAAGUUUGAUAUAGUAACCGUCUAAAGGUAGAAGUAGGUUACAGACACUCAUCUAAAUUCUUCAGUAUUUCUGCUGCUGGAGUGUUUUCAUUGCUCUUUUUCAAAAUCCCAUUCUUGAAGAGUGAGUCAGCACGAAGCCUGUGAAUGUGUCAGGGAGCAGUGUUUUAAAUAAAGUUUCACUGCUAAGCAAUCAUUAAAGAGUAUGUUUAUAUAUGAAAAAGUUGCAAACUUGCACAUGAACAUAACAGCUCGAUUUCUUGACUCUCGUGAAAGUUCUCUUCCUAAAUACAGUUUUCAGGAUAAUGUUCCUGAUGCUCUAGUGGAGGGAUUUUGAGUCCUUGGUAAUAUAUUUUCCUUAUUCCAUUUGCUUACUAGGAAGUAGAACCGUUUUUAUUUUUAAAUUAUUGUGAUUUCCUUUUCACAGCCUUACUGAGUACAAACUGUUUUCCUGCUGGCAUGAACACUUCUUACUGUCUUUUUUCCAAAGAACUCUUUAAAAAUACUAAACACAAUCUAGCCUCUUCUUCUUGUAAUCCUAGCCAAGUGGAACAAGUGCAAUGAACCCUUUAUGGGAAAAUUAUAUGCCUGUGUAAUUAUAACAUUAAUGAGUGUGAGUUUGCUAAAGUGAAACAUAAAAGUGAGAUUGCAAAGAUCAUUUCGUUGCUUACCUGGUGAUUUAAAGUGUGAUAAUGGUUUUGAAAAAAACUAUGUUUGAAAACCUUAAAUCUAAAACAGCUUGAGAUCUUAACAAAUGGAAAGGAAAUUGGUGUAAAGCACUGGUAAAGGCAUCACCUUGCUCUGGACUAUUCUCCAGAAUUCUCCAGAGUAUUCUCCAGAACAACCUUAUAUGACUCAUAAAACAAAUUUGUUGUGUUAAUUUACUAUAAUGACUGUACACAUAAUAGAACUACAUUAAUAUCAGAGAACCUGAAAAAAGCUUUUAGAAGUGACAUCAUCAUUCAAUGGGAAAUAAGUAUAUCAAUUUCAGGGUUCACAAGAAAAUCAUUGUUACCCCAGACAGUCUCCCGUAAAGCAGCCUGUUAAAAAGAUAACCUCAAGAGCUCUGGUGUGUCAGGGGAGCAAUAAUAUUCUAAGAAUUAGCUUACUUUGACCAAAAGUUCUAGAAUGAAUCAAUGGAAAUAAAUACCAAUUACAUGUUUAUUAGAAAGAGUGACACUAAUCAAGUUACGGUACUUUCCACAGCUCAGAGUGAUGAUGCUACCUUUUAUUUUUUUAUGGGUGCUCUGUGUAGGCCAUGUCCAAAGCCAUCAGAGAGUAUGUCAAAGGCAAUGUGGAACAUUGUAGAACUGUAGAACAGAGUUCGUUACAGUUCUAAAUAUAUCACAUUCAAAACAUUCUGACUGAAAACAUGCCCCAUCCAUUUAAAGCAACCAUUUUAAAAGCACUGUAUUUACAGAUAUGUCAUUACACCAACAUCUGGUAAAUGUAUGCAGGUCUGCCAUCUUAUGGAGCCUGAAUGGUACUGCCAAAUAACAGAACGUGGAACUAUGUGUUCAUAUUAGAUGAAUAGUUUGAAUUUCUCCUUUACAGGUAAUGUGUGUUUUCUUUUAAAACUCACACCAUUUGAAUGCAUUGUUUCUGUUCGAUUUGUGUAUUUGUUGCAUUUAUGUGUGCAUGCAGGUGUACACAUGUAAACACACAGUCAAAUAAAGGCAUUGCAUUGCAAGUUCAAGCAUAUAAAAGCUGGGAACCGUUAAAGUUGAAGUUGGUUGUUUACAUUAUAUGACUGCCUUGAGCAACAUCAUCAUGCCCUAUUUUUGGGGGGGACCACUGCCUGAUCUGUCUGAUUCAGCAUUCAGGUUAGAUGGUGCUAUUAGUGAAUAACUGUUCAGAAUUUUGCUUUAGUCUCUUUGUUUGGAGUGUGACUGUGCUGUACUUGCUGUAAGCUAGUCAAGCCCUAUUCUAAAGACAAAAUUAUUAAUUCCUCUAAGGACUUUUCUGUAGCUGAUAUUAUUAGAGUAUGAUUAUGAGCAAUUUUGAAUUAAGUUUGUACAGGCCAAGGCAGACAAUUAUCAUGGAAAUUUUCAGCCCAAGUGAUUAAAGUUUGGCGAAGCUAUUAAAGUUGCUAAAAUGAUA